UCAAUUAUAGAGAACGAGUCGAUUACACGAAACCGUUCGAGCUAACCAACUACAAAUUUAGCUAGAAGCUGUUGCAUAAGGUGUAUGAGAGUUGGUUAGGGGUGAUAGGCCUACCAAGUCCGGUGAUAUCUUGAUUUCCCCGAAAAGUUAGUACAUACACAGGUCAGGAGUGACAAGGUUCCUGACACCCAUAAAUGGUAAGUUAUCUAACUAGUUGACUUAACCGUUAUCUACUUUUGGUUUGAAUAUAGUAAUUAAAAUUUUAUGUUGUGUAGGGGGAGACUCAGAAACCACGAAAGUUAUUUAUAAUGUUGACAUAAGUAGUGUAACAGUUAUUAUUAGUGAACUCGGCAAUAGGGUUUUCAACUGUUUAUCAAAAACAUAGCUAUGUGAGCUACACAUAGUCAUUUCUGCUCAAUGAAGAUUUAAAUAGCCGCAGUACCCUGACUGUGCAAAGGUAGCGUAAUCAGUUGUCUUCUAAUUAAAGUCUUGUAUCAACGAAUAUAUGGGGGCCCACUUUACCAAUGAUAACACAUAAAUUUAUUAAAAGGGUGCAAAGACCCUUGUUACUUAAUAGACGAGAAGACCCUAGAAAUUUUAACUGUCGUUUUUGUUGGGGCAACAUGGUAACAAGUUAACUUACUCUAUAUACAAGAAAUUGGUUUGAUAGAAUAAAUUACUCUAGGGAUAACAGCAUAAUGUAUAAACGUUUGUGACCUCGAUGUUGGAUUAGGAAAUCAUAACCUAAAAG
rnacentral:rRNA from 1 species